AUCCUUUUGUAGUUCUUAAGCGUGAUUGGGUGUUCACACCGUUGUGUGACAUGUGCCACCCUUAAACCUUGUUAUGACGUUGGCACAUUACCCGUCUGACG
ensembl:snoRNA